UCAGCUUUCUUACACAACCCUGUACUAGUGACUUCACAAUAAACAUAUCUGCAUAAAUUCACUUUACUUAAAAUCAUUUCCUGGAGGAAACCAUAGAUCAGUAUUGCAACAGAUGGACAGACCCUUGUGGUAAAAUAACUGAAAUUAAGUGAACUGUCUGCCACGUUUUGUGUAAUGGAAUCUAAAACUACUAACAUCAUCAUCUUUCUGGACCCUGUGUUUGGGUUCACAGAUUUAGUUUGUUUAGUUUAGUCUGAUUCAUGACUGUGUGUCUGUCCUCACACUGCACGCUGCGGAACUGCACCUGAAACAACAGCGUAAGCAGAGAACAAUAGUGUAUUCAUAUAAAUCGACUGUCAGGAACAAUAGAUCUGUCCUCAGUAAUCUGACUCAAUGAGUUCUGGGGUUUUCUUGGGGUUUUAUGGCGAGCCUUUGAGUUACAUCUCAUAUGAACAUGUUUUAUCAAGGUUACGUUGAAGAUCUAGACAGACAGAUAGACAGACAUACAGGUAGACAUACAGAUAGAUAGACAGACAGAUAGACAGACAGGUAGAUAAACAUACAGGUAGACAGACAGACAGACCAAUAGAUAGAUAGACAGACAGACAGAUAGAUACUGGAGACAGACAGACAGAGAGAGAGAUAGAUGGACGGACAGACAGACAGGUAGACACAAACAGGUAGAUAGACAGACAGACAGGUAGAUAGACAUACAGGUAGACAGACAGACAGACAGACCAAUAGAUAGAUAGACAGACAGACAGAUAGAUACUGGAUAUAGACAGACAGAGAGAGAGAUAGAUAGAUGGACGGACAGGUAGAUAGACUGACAGACAGACAUACAGGUAGAUAGACAGACAGACAGACAGACAGGUAGACACAAACAGGUAGAUAGACAUACAGACAGACAGACCAAUAGAUAGAUAGACAGACAGACAGAUAGAUACUGGAGAUAGACAGAGAGAGGGAUAGAUAGAUGGACGGACAGGUAGAUAGACUGACAGACAGACAUACAGGUAGACAGACAGAUAGACAGACAGACAGACAGGUAGACACAAACAGGUAGAUAGACAUACAGGUAGACAGACAGACAGACAGACAAACCAAUAGAUAGAUAGACAGA